GACGAACCGUCCAAACGUUAUUCGGAAUCACUGGGCUUGCAGAGUUCGUAGGCGGUUCUAAAAGUUAGGUGUGAAAUCCCUCGGCUCAACCGAGGAACUGCGCUUAAAACUGUGGGACUCGAGGGAGAUAGAGGAAAGCGGAACUGAUGGUGGAGCGGUGAAAUGCGUUGAUAUCAUCAGGAACACCGGUGGCGAAGGCGGCUUUCUGGGUCUUACCUGACGCUGAGGAACGAAAGCCAGGGGAGCGAACGGG
rnacentral:rRNA from 1 species